rnacentral:tRNA from 1 species
ACCUGGGUGGCUCAGUCGGUUAAGUGUCUGACUUUGACUCAGGUCACGAUCUUGCAGUUUGUGAGUUCGAGCCCCGCAUCAGGUC